UGUCUUAGUUGUACCACCCUGAAAGCCCCCCAAUCCCAUCUGAUCUGGGAGGUUAAACCGGGCCAAGUGUAGUUUGUAUUGGAUGGGAGAUAGACAUAAGAUAGCUUCACUGUGGUUA
ensembl:rRNA predicted gene, 22968